CAGAAAGAAACUCAGACAUCAUCUGGCUUACAUUUUAAUCUUGCAACUGAGAAAAGGUAGACUCUCAGCAGGUAAGGGUAUCAUUCAUUUGACAUAUCUGGUAAGCAAUGAAGUUGAGACUAACCCUAGUGCCACUUGGCUUCCAGCCCAGGCUCCUUCCCCUUUGUCAUCAGGCUUUCCUGCUCCGAGGGAUGUAUGCCACCCCUUUUAUACUGGCACAGAACGUUUCCAAGCUGUGAAGCAUCGUGCCAUCUCCAGGAAGAGGAGCCUGCUCCCAGCCUGGCUUAAGAGAGCUCAUUUUUCACUUACAGCUCCUGGCAAUAAACAACUCAGGCGCAACGGGAUGUUUCUUACAAGGAGCAGCCGUGCAGUGAUUGCUCCACUCUGAGGGUCUGACUCAGCCCUUCCUCAGCUUCUGGGCUUAUUUUAGCCCCACGUUUCUGGAGGAGGAAACGAGAACAUGAUCAAGGAUGCCGUGGGAAGAGCCUGGGGCCCUCCAGUUCUCUCGGGGAGCCUCGGGAAGCUCCUCGCAGUUUCAGCUACUGUAGAAAUUCACAGCCAAGGGCUCCUACAGAAUUGGGCUGUCAGCCUGGCCAGCCUGGGCGGGUGGGCCCCGCUGUAAGAAAGCCUGCCAUUUGGAAAUGAGAAUUAGAGCAAAAGGAUACAUUUGAGGUUGAUUAUUGACCUGGGAAAGAGUUUCUUUCCCUUCUUUACUAAAUGUGGGAUAGUAGAAAGAACAAGUCGAGGCC
rnacentral:lncRNA from 1 species